rnacentral:rRNA from 1 species
AGAGCGAACGCUGGCGGCAGGCCUAAUACAUGCAAGUCGAACGAAGCCUUCGGGCUUAGUGGCGGACGGGUGAGUAACACGUGGGAACGUACCCUUUGGUUCGGAACAACUCAGGGAAACUUGAGCUAAUACCGAAUGUGCCCCCAUCCUUAAAAAAGAUGGGUGGGAAAGAUUUAUCGCCAUUGGAGCGGCCCGCGUCUGAUUAGCUAGUUGGUGAGGUAAAGGCCCACCAAGGCUACGAUCAGUAGCUGGUCUGAGAGGAUGAUCAGCCACACUGGGACUGAGACACGGCCCAGACUCCUACGGGAGGCAGCAGUAGGGAAUCUUGCGCAAUGGGGCGAAAGCCUGACGCAGCCAUGCCGCGUGAAUGAUGAAGGUCUUAGGAUUGUAAAAUUCUUUCAGCGGGGACGAUAAUGACGGUACCCGCAGAAGAAGCCCCGGCUAACUUCGUGCCAGCAGCCGC